UACGGGAGGAUGCGAGCGUUAUCCGGAUUUAUUGGGUUUAAAGGGUGCGUAGGCGGAAUGCCAAGUCAGCGGUAAAAUCGCGGGGCUCAACCUCGCUCCGCCGUUGAAACUGGCGUUCUUGAGUGGGCGAGAAGUAUGCGGAAUGCGUGGUGUAGCGGUGAAAUGCAUAGAUAUCACGCAGAACUCCGAUUGCGAAGGCAGCAUACCGGCGGCGAUCUGACGCUGAGGCACGAAAGCGUGGGUAGUCGAACAGGA
rnacentral:rRNA from 1 species